rnacentral:tRNA from 2 species
AAGCACUUAGUUUGAUGGUUUGAAAGUCAUUUUUAUAAUAAGAAGACGCGGGUUCUAAUCCCGCUGUCCUUA